UCCUCCGGGAGGAUGUGGAAAUAGGUGAGGGCUCUCCGACCCCGACGGGCAGCCUGGUACCCGCAAGCGGCUUUCUUCCAACGGACGCCCCCAGAGGAUCCACGCACGUCUAGGGCAGGAGCGAGAACACAACAGAGGAGCGACGGUGGAAACAGAAAAUCCACGAUCUCCAUCUCCUUCAAAAUCGGCUACCAAAUAUUCUCAAUCGGAAAACUUCCUUCGUGAUCCUUCAUGGCUCAGUGUGUGACCCUAAACUGGAUCUCCUCAACGCUUAUUUAUUCAGUCUACUCUCUACUCUUUUGCACAUCUGGAAUCUUCCCAAGUUGUGAAGAGCCCUAUGGAGAAGUCCACGUGGCAAGGAACUGAUUUCUCUGGCUAACAGCCAGCGAGAACCUGAGUCUUGCCAAUGGCAAUGUGAGUGAGCUUGGAAGUGAAUCCUCCUAAAGUCAAGUUUUGAGAUGACUCAAGUCCUGGCCGACACUUUGAUUGUAGCCUUGUAAGAGACUGCGACCAGAGGCCAACUAAAUGUGUCUGGAUUCUUGACCCACAGAAAUAUAUUUUGCAAGUUCCAGAAGACUCCAUCCCACACAAGAUAGUGAAUCGAAGUGUCACAGAAGACUGAAUUUCCUCAGUAUUUCACAAGGAAACAAGCGUGGAAAUUUAAAAAUAGAUCAAGGGAUGCUCAGAGGGCAGCUCCCUAGCAACCCGGACUGCAUUGCUGGUAUGCUAACACGAGUAGCCUGCAUUCUGCCAGGAAACAAUGAAAAGAUGGAGAGUUUAUUGAUAGUCUUUGUGCCUGGUGCCAUGAAGCUUGUUUUUGAGGCUCUGAUGUGAAGGGGAAAAAAAAUCCUGCAUGUCAUAUUGCUGCAGAGUACAGGCGCCCUGGUGCGCACCGUGAAAAUAUCAUAGAAGAAUAUGACAUCAAAUUGUCUGCCUACAAUGAUACCAUCUCUUAUUAAAAUAAAAAGAAGAAAGGUAUAGAGACUAACAAUGCAUCUCCUUUUCUCGCUCAGAUUUCACACAAGGGAAGUUACCUGGAUGUUCAAAAUGUUGAAACAUGUCUUUGUGUCAAAAGUGGAAUAAUUAAGCAUUCAGUGCUAGCCCAUUAACCAGAUGUGCCCCCCACCUUUUUUUUUUUUCUUUUUGGCUUGCUUUUUCAAGAAGACUUUCGAAGGAAAAUGUCAAGUAAAUUACUUCUAUUCAAAAUGGUUUUCCUUCCUCCCUUCUUUUCCUUCCUUCCAAGACAGCAGUGUCAAAUGUGUGGCCACUUUUUGUACAAACAAAUAUUUUUCUUUCUUUGACUUUUUUUAAAUAGUGAAAAAUAUAGCAAUAAAAAAGUAAAAAGAGAAAUACAAUGAACUUUCAGAUUUGUAUUAGUAAGCUUAAGGAAUAAAACUUCACAAAUGCUAUUGAAAUGCACGUUUUUACCUCCAACUAUAUUCCUUUGUCAAUACCCUUAGGGGUAACCAUUCCCCAGAACUUGGUAAUUAUCAUUCCCAAGCAUUUCUUUAUACCUUCAUUCUAUAUGUGUCUAUAUGUAAACCAUAUCAAUUGUCAAGUUUUCAAACUUGUGUGUUGUUGUAUUGUACAAUUUGCUCUUUUUAUUCUACAACUUGCUUUAUUUUAACUCAAAAUUGUGUUUCUGAGAUGUAUUCAUGUUAGUUCAUUUGUUUUCAGUUCAUAUACUGUCUGCUUGAAUAAAU
ensembl:lncRNA